rfam:Triticum urartu cultivar G1812 contig1246136, whole genome shotgun sequence.
AUACUUACCUGGACGGGGUCGAUGGCCGAUCAAGAAGAGUCAUGGUCUAGGCUAGUGGUCCGCAUUGCACUUGGUGGAUGCGCUGGCUUACCAUCUCCCCAAGUGGGAGAAUGGACGUCAUAAUUUGUGGUAGAGGGGGUACGCGUUCGCGCGGCCCCUG